ensembl:lncRNA
GCUAACCUCAGAGCCUGCUGUCUGUCCUUCAGAAACUUCAUCUUUACCCUCUUUGCUACUCCCCAGCGAAACAGUCAAAGCACACGCCCAAAUUUAUUUUUAUUGUGCAUACAUAGGAAACAUGACCCUAUCAAAAGAACAAAAAGACAAAGGAGCCAAGUGUUACAAGAGGAAAAGCAUGCGUAGAUCUACUCCCAGUUCACUCCUAGCCAUGGACUCUAUGGGACUUCACACACCAGAAGUUGGCUUGGACUGGCUCCAAGCAGUGGGCACUGUCCACCGACAGCAUGCGGGAACAGUGGGCAGGAAAUAUCACUGUAGAAGGAAUUUCCACACACACUGACCACUGAGUGGGUUCUCACCAAUGUUCAAGGGAAAACAGAGUUUAUCUCACACAAGCAUGAAUAUAAAAUAGUUGAGUGCUACCUAAAUCAUCUAGUCCCUUAAGAUCAUUUGCUAUUAAAAAAAAAAAAAAAAAAAAAAAACCCCAAACAGAAUUUCAUCGUGGACAUUUGGGUGCCUAUGUAGCUGCACCAACUCCAACUUGGGACGCUUCCUCAUCAGAACUGUAAAGGAAGAAACUGGAGCUGAAAAUGCCAAACGAAUGGCCUGGAGGAAGAGAAACUUCUGGACCCGUGUAGUUAUCCUGGGUUGUAAACAGCAAAUGUUGUGCUUUGUUGCUCAUUCAGAUCAAGGAAUUGAGUGUGGGGAGGGACUGAAGUUGGGGACAGGAGUUCAGAGGUCACGCUCAGUGGUCAAAAGCACCGGCAGCAGCAUCUAUGUUCAGACUAUUUCCAGUGUUCAUCUGGCUCCAAGAGUGUCCCGUGGAGUCCCUGGGGAGGCUCCCAGAUUCUCCAUCCUGACUCCUCACUCCUACUCCAGCAGAGCAGGGACAUGGAGACAAGGAAUGGGGAAUGAAAACACUCAGUAUCACUCUAGUGAGAUGUCCUGAUGCUCAAGUUCAAUGACUGACAACCUCUCAAAAGGCUCUAAUUACUUCAUUU